UCGUAACAAGGUCUCCGUUGGUGAACCAGCGGAGGGAUCAUUACCGAGUUUACAACUCCCAAACCCCUGUGAACAUACCAAUUGUUGCCUCGGCGGAUCAGCCCGCUCCCGGUAAAACGGGACGGCCCGCCAGAGGACCCCUAAACUCUGUUUCCAUGUGUAACUUCUGAGUAAAACCAUAAAUAAAUCAAAACUUUCAACAACGGAUCUCUUGGUUCUGGCAUCGAUGAAGAACGCAGCAAAAUGCGAUAAGUAAUGUGAAUUGCAGAAUUCAGUGAAUCAUCGAAUCUUUGAACGCACAUUGCGCCCGCCAGUAUUCUGGCGGGCAUGCCUGUUCGAGCGUCAUUUCAACCCUCAAGCCCAGCUUGGUGUUGGGACUCGCGAGUCAAAUCGCGUUCCCCAAAUUGAUUGGCGGUCACGUCGAGCUUCCAUAGCGUAGUAGUAAAACCCUCGUUACUGGUAAUCGUCGCGGCCACGCCGUUAAACCCCAACUUCUGAAUGUUGACCUCGGAUCAGGUAGGAAUACCCGCUGAACCUAAGCAUAUCA
rnacentral:misc_RNA from 1 species